UUCAACGUUUUGCUUUGAUGGUUCACUGGCUUUGCUUGAGCAUUUUUUUUUUUAGUUUUUUUAUUUUUGAUUUAUUUUUUAACAUACAUGGUUCUUUCAUUUGGUUUCCUUAACCUUCUUAUCAUCUUAACAAACCAAUGAUAAGAUGAAGAUAGCAUAAAAAUAGGACAAAUAACAAAUAAUUAACUUGGUAAUAAGCUACUACUUGUUUAUGCUUACUAGGCUCUAACACUUUACCUUACCAAAAAAACAAGGUUCAAAACUCGAGUUUUUACUCGUUUUGCCCUCGAACAUUUUACUUUAUCCUACUCAAUUUGGUACAUCAUCAGAUUUCACAAAACCUUAGACCAUUUUUCUUUGCAUACUCGAAUAUCUUAUAGUUUUACUUAGCAAAUGUCAUCCCUUUUUCCUUUUUAGUAAUUAAUCAAAAUGCAAAGUCACUGAUGAGAGAAAUAGAACCCUCAAAACAAAGAACAAACUUUCAACACAGAUUUAAAAAAUAAAUAAAUAUAAAAAAAAGGAAACUUUUUUUUACUUCUUCUUCUUCUUCAACAUUAUUUUUUUUGGGUCAAAGGAGGCCGAAGCUGAGGAAGAGUGAGAGACUCAGUGGAACACGGGGUUUUUGAUGCUUUUACCGCCUGAGUCUCGCUCGUUCUUUACACAACUCUUGGAGUGUACAAAACAGAAGAAGCUCCAUAAAGGUAAAGCAUUGCACGCGCAGAUAAUCAAAACCAGUUUGUUUUCCUGUAUAUACAUCGCCAACAGCCUCGUCAACCUCUACGCCAAAUGCGGAAACUUGUUCAAAGCCAAGCUGGUUUUCGAAAACAUUCACCAAAAAGACGUCGUAUCAUGGAACUGCCUCAUUAAUGCCUACUCUCAGCAGGGUCCUUCUUGGUCCUCUCUCGUCAUGGAGCUUUUCCAGCGGAUGAGAGCGGAGAACACCUUGCCUAAUGCCCACACUUUUGCUGGCGUUUUCACUGCUUCUUCCAAUAUCUCUGAUAUUUUGGGUGGUCAGCAAACUCAUACGUUAGCAAUUAAAACUGAUUGUUUUGAUGAUGUCUUUGUUGGAAGUUCGCUUCUUAAUAUGUACUGUAAAAGAGGUCUUGUAUCCGAUGCUCGUAACGUGUUCGAUAGAAUGCCGGAUAGGAAUUCGGUUUCUUGGGCUACCAUGAUUUCUGGGUAUGCAAUGCAACGGCUGGCUAAUGAGGCUUUUGGGCUUUUUGAAUUAAUGCGUCAAGAGGAGGAGGAGUGUGAUAGUGAGUUUGUUUUUACCAGUGUUCUUAGUGCAUUGACGCUUCCUGAGUAUGUUGAUGGGGGAAAACAAAUCCAUGGUGUGGCAGUUAAAAACGGGUUGGUUUCUUUUAUAGCUGUUGGGAAUGCUCUUGUUACCAUGUAUGCAAGAUGUGGAAGUUUAGGUGAUGCGCUUCAAACAUUUAAAUUUACGAAUGAUAGGAACUCCAUCACAUGGUCUGCGAUGGUCACUGGAUUUUCACAAAGUGGGGAUUUUCAAAAGGCUUUGAAAUUGUUUUCCACCAUGCAUUUCUCUGGGAUAACUCCCAGCGAGUUUACUUUCGUUGGUAUAAUCAAUGCUUGUAGCGAUCUUGGUGCAGUUGAUGAAGGUAAACAGAUGCAUGGGUAUUCGCUGAAGUUGGGAUUUGAAUCGCAGAUAUAUAUAAUGACAGCUUUAGUUGACAUGUAUGCCAAAUGUGGUAACACUAUUGAUGCUCGUAAAGGAUUUGAUUAUCUAAAAGAACCUGAUAUUGUUCUGUGGACUUCUAUGAUUGGAGGGUACGUUCAAAACGGGGAGAAUGAAGAAGCUUUGAGUUUGUAUUGUAGAAUGCAGGGUGAGGGAAUUAUGCCCAAUGAGCUAACCAUGGCUAGCAUCCUAAAAGCAUGUUCAAGCCUUGCUGCUUUGGAACAAGGAAAACAGAUCCAUGCCUGCUCCAUUAAGUGUGGAUUUGGUCUUGAAGUUCCAGUUGGAAGUGCACUUUCUAACAUGUAUGCAAAGUGUGGGAGUUUGGAAGAUGGGAACCUGGUCUUUAGGAGAAUGCCCACAAGGGAUAUAGUUUCUUGGAACGCAAUGAUAUCUGGCCUUUCUCAGAAUGGGCAUGGAAUUGAGGCUUUAGUCCUCUUUGAGGAGAUGCAAUUAGAGUGUACAAAACCAGAUCAUGUCACAUUUGUGAACGUUCUCUCUGCUUGCAGCCACAUGGGAUUGGUGGAUAGAGGUUGGGGUUAUUUCAACAUGAUGUUUAAUGACUUUGGCUUAGUACCGAAAGUAGAGCAUUAUGCUUGCAUGGUUGAUGUCCUGAGCCGUGCUGGAAAGCUGAAUGAAGCCAAAGACUUAAUAGAAUCAGCAACAAUGGAUCAUGGCAUGUGUUUAUGGCGUAUUUUGUUAGGUGGUUGUCGAAACUACAAGAAUUAUGAACUGGGGGCCUAUGCCGGAGAAAAGCUAAUGGAGUUAGGGUCACAAGAAUCAUCAGCUUAUGUGUUAUUGUCAAGUAUCUACACUGCCUUGGGUAGGAAAGAAGAUGUGGAGCGGGUUAGGAGGCUGAUGAAACUUCGAGGUGUCAGCAAAGAGCCAGGAUGUAGCUGGAUUGAGUUGAAGAGUCAGGUUCAUGUGUUUGUUGUUGGAGAUGAGAUGCAUCCACAGAUUGGGGAUAUACGUGUUGAGCAACAAUGAAUGAAGGGAAGGAAUUUGUGCCUGGUUUUCAUAGGAAAUGAUGAAAUGUCCCUUUUACUCCUUUGCAUACUAAGAUAGCCAAAGACAGUGUAAAGUAAAUUAGAUUGGUGGCAUUGGACAUCUUUUAACUGCAUUUGACUUCACAACUAAGGGAAUUUUUCAGGUAUUUCCUGUACACAUAUGGAAUCAGAAAUUUAUUUAUCUUCUCAAAACUAUAAAACAAAAUUAUGCUAAGAUGAUCUAAAACAUAAACCUAGAUUCUUCUAUAAAAUAAGAUAUAUAUAUAUAUAUAUAUAUAUUUUUUUUUUCCACUAUUCAUAUGAGUAACUCCUUGAUGUUUCGGCUAUUAAAUUAUUGAAGUAUGUGCGCUAUGCUAUGUCUAAGGUAUGUUGCACCUUCUUGUGGAUGCAAUAAUAAGUUCAGGCUCUCUUUCAUGUAAUGUCAGCAUAUAGCUUCAAGCUCUGUGUAUUUUAUCAACAUUUCUUCUUUUAAUUCUUCCUUUUUCUUUUAACAUGUUUAAGAAAUCUAUUUACGUAUUCUAUGCUGGAAGCAGUUAAAUGGACAAUACUGGCAUCUACAUGAUCCCCAGGAAAGCCACCGGGUCUAAUUGGAUGUUGGCCUUCUAUGGCUGUCACAUUCAUAGAUAACCAUGAUACGUGGUCAACACAAGUUCAGUUCUAAAUGUUCACUUUUAUGAUUUUAAAAUGUUUUUAGAUGGAUUCUCUCUGGUGCACUCAUGGGAAGAAGCAAUGGAGAGAGUUUGGGGAAUUUCUUUCUCAGUUACGUAUGGAAGAAAUCUUCUUUUUGCAUUUAUGAAUUUAUUCAAUAAUUCACCAUUUCAAGUUGUUCUGCCCAUAAUUGACGGGGGGUUCAUGUUGAAUCUGAGCUGGUGUUUGCCUCACCACCUUGGUCAUUGUGCAUGUGUCUAUAGCUCUCUCAUAUUUAUGUUUAUGGGUAUCACUAUUUACAGAAAUGAGGCUUAGUUCUAGUUAUGGAUGUUGUUAAUCCACUUAUCUCAUUUUUCUUCCAGGCUUAUUGGCUCUUCUCCUCUAAUCAUGUCAUGAAGGUACGUAAAAUUGUGGUAAGCCUUGUGGCCCACCAAGUGACAGGUAAAAUACCUAUAACAGGAAAAUAACCUUGUGUUGUUUAGCAUGUGUUCUUGUUGGCUAAUGAGCUCUGGAAUAUGGAGUUAAGAAUGAAGGAUACAAUAUUAUAUCUGCACUUUUGUGAUCUGCAGAAAAAAAAUUCUUAUCGAUAGGAUAAAAAAAUAAAAAAAUAAAAUAAAAAAGAAGGAAAAAGAAUUGUUCCAACACCAUUUAUUUUGCUGAUUUCAUUGUUGCUACUCACAUCUUGCUAUGUUGUACACAUCAUGUUCAAAUUUGUAAGAAUAAGGCGUAUAUCUCCAAUUUUUUAUUUUUUAUUUUUUUUUAAAUUAUUAUUAUUGGAAAUAAGUUGUAGUAUCAGUUGUCAUUUUAAAUAUAAAACUUCAUCUAUAAUUACUCUUUAAUAAGUUUGAGACUGAUGCAAAGAUAAUGCACUUGUUUGGUAUUGCUAGUUGGUAUACGUUAGCAGUUUUCUUUUUAAAUUCCGUUUUAACAUAUAUAUAAUCAUAUAUUUAGUUUAUUUUAUAGAUACUUUUCCUCAAAAAAAAAAAAAAAAUUUAUUUUACACAACUUCAUUCGAUUUUUUUUUUUUUUCCUGUUAAUAUAUAUCCCUCCGAUCGAUUACUAACCUACAAAUAAUAAAGAAAAAUGUGGUCAGUCAUAUUUUAUUUAUUUUUAAGUAACAAACGAGUCUUAUAUCUUCUAACUAAAUACUCUUAUAUUAAAAUUUCAUUUAAUGUUGGCAAGUCUUGAAUGACUUGUAAAAAAACUGGUUUUGUACUCAAGGGGGAAAUCUUUUUCUUCUUUCAAAAACUAGCUUUAAUAU